GUCAAGACAAAAUUAAAGCCCAAAACACAGCGACAGCCAGGAUUUAGUACUAACUUUUACCUGCUGCUUGAUCAGCCAAAACUGUGGACAACAUAGCAGCUGAGGACUGUAUAGCUGGAGGAGGAGGAUGAUGAGGAGGAGGAGAGGCAGUUUUCUGGGCUUUCUGAUCGGCCUCCGAGUUCGGCUUAAUCGGAGCCGAGCCCUGACCCGGUCCCUGAGUCUGAGCCUUUGCGCUCUCCUCAGCUAAAGCAUCACAGAACGCCCUGUGGGUGAUGAAGCUAUCCCUCCUUCAAAAACAAAACACCAAAAGGGGGAAGAACAAUCCGCUUCAAUUCACAAGCUCACAACAACCCAAGAAGGCUAACAACUGUUAACUUGGACCCAAAAAAAGAGAGACAUUGCUUGGGGGAAAAUUGCAGUCAAGAACCUUGAGAACAGAGUUCCACAGUCACAUUUAUACUCUCUGGUGCCACAGAUUUUGGAAUGGGCCUUCCAAUCGGACUGCACGGCGUAUUUCUUCGAGCACUUGUCGCAUUUCCACUUCUUCUCGCCAUGUUUCCUGCAGAAGUGCUUCUUUAUCCCGGUCAGAUCGCCGAGCGCUCGCGAGGGGUCGUGGUGGACGCAAGUGGGCUCAGGGCACACGUAAACCCUCUUCUUCACUUCCUUGCCUGAUCUCUGCCUAAGCUUCCACGGCAGGUUGUGGCCUCUCCUGUGGAGCUGCAGGUUCUGGUCCCUCUGAAAACCCUUGUUGCAGAUUUCGCACACGAACCUGUUGGUGGCUAAUAGGGUCUUGGGAGACAGAGCUAUCACCUCUGCAUCUGGAUCUGCAGGAACAAAGAAGAAACAAGAAAAUUUCCAAAUAAGAAAUUGAAGACCCCGCACCCCCACCUUCACGAACAAGAAGAACAAGGAGGAGGAGGAGGAGGAGACGAAAAAAAAGAAA